AGUGAACGCUGGCGGUAGGCCUAACACAUGCAAGUCGAACGGCAGCACAGUAAGAGCUUGCUCUUACGGGUGGCGAGUGGCGGACGGGUGAGGAAUACAUCGGAAUCUACUUUUUCGUGGGGGAUAACGUAGGGAAACUUACGCUAAUACCGCAUACGACCUACUGGUGAAAUCAUUGGAUCUUCGUACCUUUCUCGUUUGAAUGAGCCGAUGUCGGAUUAGCUAUUUGGCGGGGUAAAGGCCCACCAAGGCGACGAUCCGUAGCUGGUCUGAGAGGAUGAUCAGCAAAACGGGAACUGAGACACGGUCAAGACUCCUACGGGAGGCAGCAGUGGGGAAUAUUGGACAAUGGGCGCAAGCCUGAUCCAGCAAUACCGCGUGGGUGAAGAAGGCCUUCGGGUUGUAAAGACCUUUUGUUGGGAAAGAAAAGCAGCAGGUUAAUACCCAGAUGUUCUGACGGUACCCAAAGAAUAAGCACCGGCUAACUUCGUG
rnacentral:rRNA from 1 species